UACGUAGGGUGCGAGCGUUAAUCGGAAUUACUGGGCGUAAAGCGUGCGCAGGCGGUUUUGUAAGCCAGAUGUGAAAGCCCCGGGCUUAACCUGGGAAUGGCAUUUGGGACUGCAAGGCUCGAGUGCGGCAGAGGAGACUGGAAUUCCUGGUGUAGCAGUGAGAUGCGUAGAUAUCAGGAGGAAUACCGAUGGCGAAGGCAGGUCUCUGGGCUGACACUGACGCUCAUGCACGAAAGCGUGGGGAGCAAACAGG
rnacentral:rRNA from 1 species